GAGUUUGAUCUUGGCUCAGAACGAACGCUGGCGGCAGGCCUAACACAUGCAAGUCGAGCGCCCAGCAAUGGGAGCGGCGGACGGGUGAGUAACGCGUGGGAAUUUUUCCUGGAGUACGGAACAACCGAGGGAAACUUCGGCUAAUACCGUAUGAUAUCGAGAGAUCAAAGAUUUAUCGCUCUGGGGUGAGCCCGCGUCAGAUUAGGUAGUUGGUGGGGUAACGGCCUACCAAGCCUGCGAUCUGUAGCUGGUCUGAGAGGACGAUCAGCCACACUGGGACUGAGACACGGCCCAGACUCCUACGGGAGGCAGCAGUGGGGAAUCUUGCGCAAUGGGCGAAAGCCUGACGCAGCCAUGCCGCGUGAGUGAAGAAGGUCUUAGGAUUGUAAAGCUCUUUCGCUCGUGACGAUGAUGACGGUAACGAGAGAAGAAGCCCCGGCUAACUUCGUGCCAGCAGCCGCCGUAAC
rnacentral:rRNA from 1 species